AUAAUGGGUCAGCGACUUAUAUUCUGUAGCAAGGUUAACCGAAUAGGGGAGCCGAAGGGAAACCGAGUCUUAACUGGGCGUUAAGUUGCAGGGUAUAGACCCGAAACCCGGUGAUCUAGCCAUGGGCAGGUUGAAGGUUGGGUAACACUAACUGGAGGACCGAACCGACUAAUGUUGAAAAAUUAGCGGAUGACUUGUGGCUGGGGGUGAAAGGCCAAUCAAACCGGGAGAUAGCUGGUUCUCCCCGAAAGCUAUUUAGGUAGCGCCUCGUGAAUUCAUCUCCGGGGGUAGAGCACUGUUUCGGCAAGGGGGUCAUCCCGACUUACCAACCCGAUGCAAACUGCGAAUACCGGAGAAUGUUAUCACGGGAGACACACGGCGGGUGCUAACGUCCGUCGUGAAGAGGGAAACAACCCAGACCGCCAGCUAAGGUCCCAAAGUCAUGGUUAAGUGGGAAACGAUGUGGGAAGGCCCAGACAGCCAGGAUGUUGGCUUAGAAGCAGCCAUCAUUUAAAGAAAGCGUAAUAGCUCACUGGUCGAGUCGGCCUGCGCGGAAGAUGUAACGGGGCUAAACCAUGC
rnacentral:rRNA from 1 species